rnacentral:other from 1 species
UAAACCCUGCCAUGUGCGUGAUGCACCACGCGAUUUGAGCCAACAGUUGUACCUUUUGGAGGCCAGAUUCGUGGUGGGGAUGCGGGGCCUGCUCUCGGGCGAGGCAGAGCCACCAGAGAGGCUUCCACCUGCGCAAGCAGACUCAAAGUUGCUGGUUUGUCACACGGCAUGGCGGGGUUAUC